rnacentral:rRNA from 1 species
GACAAUGGGCGAAMGUGNANUCCAGCCAUUCCGCGUGCAGGACGAAGGCCCUCGGGUUGUAAACUGCUUUUGUACGGAACGAAAAGGCGCCUUCUAAUACAGGGUGCUCAUGACGGUACCGUAAGAAUAAGCACCGGCUAACUACGUGCCAGCAGCCGCGGUAAUACGUAGGGUGCAAGCGUUAAUCGGAAUUACUGGGCGUAAAGCGUGCGCAGGCGGUGAUGUAAGACAGUUGUGAAAUCCCCGGGCUCAACCUGGGAACUGCAUCUGUGACUGCAUCGCUGGAGUGCGGCAGAGGGGGAUGGAAUUCCGCGUGUAGCAGUGAAAUGCGUAGAUAUGCGGAGGAACACCGAUGGCGAAGGCAAUCCCCUGGGCCUGCACUGACGCUCAUGCACGAAAGCGUGGGGAGCAAACAGGAUUAGAUACCCUGGUAGUCCACGCCCUAAACGAUGUCAACUGGUUGUUGGGAAUUCAUUUUCUCAGUAACGAAGCUAACGCGUGAAGUUGACCGCCUGGGGAGUACGGCCGCA